CGGCCGGCUAAUUAUGAAUGAAACACGAUCAGGAUCGGCACUGGAAGAGGUCCGCGGCUACGCUUGGGAUUUAAGGAGGCGUCGGACCCGAGCGCUCAGCUGAGACUCGCUCGCCGCCUCCGUGGGCAGAUUGCGCAGAAAUAGAAAUGACACCGGGGCCACACUGUGUGCGAGCACAUAUCAAAAGCGGCUGGCCUUCACCUGCUUGGCAGGCUGAGAGCGGCUGUCAAUCAUGCUGAGUGACGGGCGGGCAGGGAAAGUCAGAGUCACCCGGCG